UUUGUACCUGUGCCUUCAUUAGCACAGGAUUUCAGAAAAUUCUGAUAUAAACGUAUUCUCAUUUCUGUAGAUUUAAGGUAUAUGAAAAUUUGGCUUCACGUAGCUCUCACUAUUCUAUGGAAUAUUUUUCCUGCCCUAGAUAAUAUCAUUCCUGAUAAUAUGGCCAUAUGAAUACAGAGAUUUAAAUGUCUUUUCAAUGAAGCUAAUUUUUAUGGACUGUCUGAUGUUCUACACAACAAUUCAGCCAGUUGGUAUCAGAACCAGAGCUUCUGCUACUUCUGGGGCAGUGACAAAGUCCAAGAAAUAUUCUUGAAGAUGUGGGCUCCAGUCACAUGUUGGAAAGUUUUUCUGAUUAAAAAAUAAAUUAUGAGCAUUAAUAAAAGUGAAAAUUUGA
rnacentral:lncRNA from 1 species